UCCGGCUUAUCACCGGCAGUUUCCUUAGAGUGCCCGACAUUACUCGUUGGUAACUAAGGAUAAGGGUUGCGCUCGUUGCGGGACUUAACCCAACAUCUCACGACACGAGCUGACGACAGCCAUGCAACACUUGUGAUGGUCCGGCCGAACCGACUCUCUGAUUUCUCAGAAAUAUGACCACCAUGUCAAGGCCUGGUAAGGUUUUUCGCGUAGCAUCGAAUUAAACCACAUGUUCCACCGCUUGUGCGAGUCCCCGUCAAUUCCUUUGAGUUUUAAUCUUGCGACCGUACUUCCCAGGCGGAGUGCUUAACGCGUUAGCUACGACACCAAAAAUAAAUCCUGAUAUCUAGCACUCAUCGUUUAAGGCGUGGACUAC
rnacentral:misc_RNA from 1 species